rnacentral:rRNA from 1 species
UCGGGAAUUUUGGGCAAUGGACGAAAGCCUGACCCAGCAACGCCGCGUGAGGGAUGAAGUAUUUCGGUAUGUAAACCUCGAAAGAAUGGGAAGAAUAAAUGACGGUACCAUUUAUAAGCUCCGGCUAACUACGUGCCAGCAGCCGCGGUAAUACGUAGGGAGCAAGCGUUGUUCGGAUUUACUGGGCGUAAAGGGCGCGUAGGCGGCGCGGUAAGUCACUUGUGAAAUCUCUGAGCUUAACUCAGAACGGCCAAGUGAUACUGCUGUGCUAGAGUGCGGAAGAGGCAACCGGAAUUCUUGGUGUAGCGGUGAAAUGCGUAGAUAUCAAGAGGAACACCUGAGGCGAAGGCGGGUUGCUGGGCCGACACUGACGCUGAUGCGCGAAAGCCAGGGGAGCAAACG